UUUUUUUCAAUUUUUU
rnacentral:sRNA from 1 species